ensembl:snRNA U4 U4 spliceosomal RNA
AGCUUUGUGCAGUGGCAGUGUCAUAGCCCAGGUGAUUUCUGAGGCGCAAUUAUUGCUAAUUUAAAACUUUUCCCAAUACCCCACCAUUACAAUUUAAAAUAUAGUCGGCGUUGGCAAUUUUUGGCAGUCUCUAUGGGUA